rnacentral:rRNA from 1 species
UACGUAGGGCGCGAGCGUUGUCCGGAAUUAUUGGGCGUAAAGAGCUCGUAGGCGGCCUGUUGCGUCCGCUGUCGAAAUCCCGGGGCUCAACCCUGGGCGUGCAGUGGAUACGGGCAGGCUGGAGGCAGGCAGGGGAGAACGGAAUUCCCGGUGUAGCGGUGAAAUGCGCAGAUAUCGGGAGGAACACCGGUGGCGAAGGCGGUUCUCUGGGCCU